GGUGCUAAAUUCGGCAGCAUAUACUAAAAUUGGAACUAUAUGGAGAAGAUUAGCAUGACCCCUGUGCAGGGAUGAUAUGUAAAUAUGUGAAGCGUUCCAUGUUUUU
ensembl:snRNA U6 U6 spliceosomal RNA